rnacentral:siRNA from 1 species
CGGGUCGUGCCUCCGGCG